CCUACGGGAGGCAGCAGUGGGGAAUAUUGGUCAAUGGGCGCAAGUCUGACCCAGCAACGCCGCGUGAAGGAAGAAGGCUUUCGGGUUGUAAACUUCUUUUCUCAGGGACGAAGAAAUUGACGGUACCUGAGGAAUAAGCCACGGCUAACUACGUGCCAGCAGCCGCGGUAAUACGUAGGUGGCAAGCGUUAUCCGGAUUUAUUGGGUGUAAGGGGCGAGUAGGCGGGAGGGGAAGUCAGAUGUGAAAUCUCAGGGCUCAACCCGGGGCCUGCAUUUGAUACUGUGGUUCUUGAGUGCAGGAGCGGCAAGCGGAAUGCCGGGUGUAGCGGUGAAAUGCGUAGAUAUACGGAGGAACACCAGUGGCGAAGGCGGAUUGCUGGACAAUAACUGACGCUGAGGCGCGAAAGCGUGGGGAGCAAACAGGAUUAGAUACCCGGGUAGUC
rnacentral:rRNA from 1 species